UACGUAGGUGGCGAGCGUUGUCCGGAUUUACUGGGCGUAAAGAGCGCGCAGGCGGUCGUUCAAGUCGCGUGUGAAAUCCCCCGGCUCAACUGGGGAGGGUCACGCGAUACUGAUCGACUCGAAGGCAGGAGAGGGAAGUGGAAUUCCCGGUGUAGUGGUGAAAUGCGUAGAUAUCGGGAGGAACACCAGUGGCGAAGGCGACUUCCUGGCCUGUUCUUGACGCUGAGGCGCGAAAGCUAGGGGAGCAAACGGG
rnacentral:rRNA from 1 species